AGCCGACAGCAGCCGUUCCAGCGUCUCGGAAGUAUCCCAACCAUCGUCAUGCCAUCCGAGCUGUGCGUGUGUGCAUGCGCAGUGGUAGCUCUUGUUGCAUGCCGUUUCAGAGAGCCGCAAGUUCUUUUUUUUAAAAAAAGAUUGCUGCAAAGGUGUAAGCUCGUUAAGAGCUGUAGGUGGCGGGGUAACGAGUACCGGAAAGAUUUGAAAUGUGAAAUGCCUGCUGGGAGGUCUCUGCAUCUGACGGCGUGUGUGUGUGCGGCUGUGAUGUUUGUUGCGCCAUUCAAUGCGAAGCAUUGUGUGUGGAACUAAACUGGUUUCAGAAGCAGGCUUUUAGGUUCUGAAAGUGCCAUUUGGCUGAAAUUGGAGGGGGGGGGUGUCGCAGUAGUGAACUGAAAUAGAAGAGAAGCUAUCUUAUGAAGCUGUAAUCAAGACAAAAGAUAGAUUUAUUUAGAACGGAAGCUUCAAUGGGGAUCAGACAUGGGCCUGUUAGAUAACGGGUCUUGAUGCGCAAUACCAAGAUGGCUAGUGAUGGCAAAAAGCACGGGACGGGAGCAGCUAACGUUUUAUGGACUCUACAAUUAGCCUUAAGAAAGCCUUUUGCAAGUGUUUUCUAAUAAGCCCAGGGAAGGAUUCUCAUGUUUGUUUUGAACGCCAGGUAGCACUUAUCAAGAGGUUUGAAGGAACAGUAAGGAACAGCUUGCAUGUUCGGCUAAGCUAACCAUGAUCCAGGACGAAGCGAAAAAAAUUCAGCCUCAGCAGUAUCGUUCCUGAAAUGCUUGCGCCAGAAUCGGAAAGAGAGCACGAGGCUUUGUUCGAGAACGUUUGGCACGCAGAAAAAAAUAACUCAUGUCAAGGUUACCAGCUGUGUGACGGUGCACGUGUAGUAUUGCAGCUGUUGCUUGAGCAUCGAGGCAGUUUUGCAGCUGGGUGACCGGAUGAAUUGUUUGCAAAAAUAAGCCUUUUCGAAGUACAUUCACCACAGUGGCUGUUGCUAGGCACAACGUCAAUGGCUCAUCUCCUGGUCACAGUUUAUCUACAUUAAACUUAACAAAUAAAGCAAACCAAAGUUAAUAUUGAAGCUUCCAUUUGCAGCUGGAAAAAAAAGUCUGGGCUCUUCUAACGAAGCGGGCUGAUGCACUUUGCUACUUAAAUGCAUUUUAGUAGUGCGUUUUUCUCAGUAUUUUAAAUGAAAAAGUCUAGGCUGCCAUUUUCUCAUCUGGUACAACUAUCUUUUUCAUUGCAAAGUAUUCGUCAUUUUAGACGCAGAUACGGGGAGAGCUUAUGCAUCAACAACAGCGCAGCCGCACACUGUUCGCUGCAGAUGUUAACUCCAACUGCAUGGGCUUGAAGGUAGACGGGGGGUAGUCUCCUGCAAUUAUGGUGGCCGUCUCGUUUCUUUAGCUGGCCACGACUUCGUUGAGCUUACUGCUCACGGAUGUAAACACUUGCUGUUUAAUGUGGUGAACUAGAACAUGGCUGAGUGUCUCGGGUCACUUAAAGUAAGUUUUUUUUUUAGAGUAAAACAUUUUAGGGAUUGCCUGAGGCUACAGCUCUGACCUCUGCAUUGUGCCUAAUGCAAAGGAUACGUGGAAUUAGACGUUACUGUGAUGUAAAUUGGGACACGCAAACUGUGCUGUAACUGAAAGGAAAAAAUUGUCGUGAAAAGGAAUAAAUUGUCAGUGUGAAGCUAUGAAUUGAACACAUCAGAUCUUAGCACCACAAAGAAAAUUUGUAGAUAUUAAUUUGUUGUCGAUAAAUAAACUGAUUUGAAAUGUUCCUUAGUUGCCGAUCAACAGUGCCUCUCAACUGGUUGGCCACGUGUGGACUAGUUCUAAGACACUCAGCCGUGUUCUGGCUCCCCCUUGCCUUCUUGAGUGACAACUUGUUUCUCUCUCUCUCUCUGUUGCUGCAUCACUCUCCUCAACCCCCCCUCAACCUGCCUUCCCCUCCCCCCCAACAAAAGAAGGUCGCCGUCUGACAGAUGGAGGUUGUGUCUAGCGCACUGGCUUACUGCGGAUGUGGCUACCACCACACGCCCAGUGGUGGGCUACAGCGUGCCAAGGGAUCAUAAGAGCAGCUUUGGCAAGCAAGUCCGUAGCUCGGGCAGAGAACCCCCGGAG
rnacentral:lncRNA from 1 species